UCACUUAUCGACGCGCAGGGUACCCCCCUGGCGUCGAGAAUUGACGUGCGGGGUCCUCCUAUUGAAUACUAUACUGAUCCCUAAUCGUUGCUUAUUGACGACAAGAGAUUUCCGCGGAAGAGCCUGUUGUUCGUAUAUUUAUACAUUUCCAAAAUCACAUUGUAGUGACGUGUACUGAACACAAUAUAUUAUAUAAUGUAAACAACUACCUGAGAAACAGCAGAUACAGCAGAUAAAUUAAUUAUAGGCCAUUACUUGUAUCGUUUAUUGCAUUUAUGGAGGGAGAGGUGUAUGCUGGGUAAUGGCACAGCUAGCGACCGGGUGACUUUAUUCACCCGCUUCGGCUGUUAUCAGUCCAUACAAUGGGCGUUAUUAGCAGAAAUCAGUCCCAUAGAUGUGGGCCAUCUCCUGCUAGAUUGUUCAGAAGGUUGUUAUCAUCCAUCCAGAUGGAGGAUCACUAACAGGAGCGUGGAAGACUCCAGAAUCCACUCUGGCUGGAAUCCGGUGGAUACAGCAGUGUUACAGGUACUGUACGUGAUAUUAAGGGCAGGCGGUCAUCACCGGGGGAAGACAAGAAGCAGACGUACUUCCAAGAGGGAGCUGCAGUGAGGACGCAGCCUGGUCACUGAGGUCAGAGGAGGCGCUGAAAGGUUUCCCUAAUAGUUCCUGGUGAAUCAAAGCAGAACCAUUAAGGUUGCUGGACUGCAUGAUGGCCUUACCCCUGAGCAGUCAUCCUGUUAAAGGAGGAACCACUUAGAAGCUGUUUUCAAAGUAGCUGAGCAGAUUUCAUCUCAACAGACAAAGCCGAUGGCAGAAGAUGUUUGGAGAAGAACUUCAGGCCGUGUACUGACAAGAUCAAAGCAGCUCGUGCUCUUUCUGCUUCCAUUUUGAUGGCAAGAAGAAGAAUGCUUCAGCGAAGUGGCGUUCAUGGUCUCAGUGGACAGUCAUGGUCACACACUGCAUGUGGUUUUAAAAGCAACAUGUCUGUUCACCACAACAAUGGAGAUGUGUAAUAUCAGUGCAGCUACAGUUUGUUCUUGAACAUCAGUUCUGUUUUCUACUUUGACCACUUAGACCAAAAAAGUGUUGUUUUCAGAUUCUUUCUUUUAAAUCUGUAAAGCACCUGUUCAUUUUUUUUAUUACAAUUAGUUUCACAUAAAUAGUAGUGUUUCCUUUAUGGUCUUUUAAUGCUUACACUACACUGUACACGUCUACAUUAGAGACAUUUCUGUUACCUAUUUAUGAGACUGGGCUGCUUAACUACAAUUUGGAAAUGGAUGCAAAAUCACACGGAUCGUGCUAUUGUUUGUUAUUUAAUAUGAUUCAAUUCAAUUCGGUAAAACUUUAUUGAUCCUGAAGGUUGACCCCGAGGGAAAUUUGGGUUAAGGCCAACACAGGACGUGUCUGACUAAGCAAAGAUUAAUCUGAUCCCAUUUCUACCUGUCUCUACUGUUUCAACUGUAACUGUCAGGAUAUAUAUUUAUUCCCGCUCUCAUAGGGCAAAGGAAUGACUCAGACUUGUCAAAUGUUCUUUGACUUGAAACACAAUUUGAAGUUCACAAUUUUCUUACAAAUAAAACUAUAAUGACAAAC